CGGAUUAAACUGCUUUCGGUUCAUCCCGCAGCGCCAGUUCUGCUUACCAAAAGUAGCCCACUAGGCGUCUCGCAUUCCACGCCCAUAGUCCAAGAGGGUUAGA